rnacentral:misc_RNA from 1 species
UUCUAGCCCGGAUGGCAGCGCAAAGCCCGCAGUUUUGAAGGCUUGCUUUUUGAAGAUUGCCGCGGCGACCAACGGAAGCCAGCGGGAAUAUUACAAAAAGCGCCUGAAAAGCGAGGACUUGCAGCGUACAGCCGGAACAGCU